AAUGCCAUUUAAUUGCCAGUCAGGAGUUGUAAACGGGGAUAGCGAACGGGAGGGAUAAGUGCUCUGCAAAUUUUUCUGCCGAAUAAUCAUGACAGUUUUGAACGGCAAGGAGCCGGCGCAACAGGGUGUUUCUUCCAAUCAAGGGCGACUGGUCCACUGCCUGCUCUUCUGGGUCGUGCUGCUGUCGACCCUACAGAUCCUCACGUUGGCGGUCUUCUUCGCUGUCGUGUAUCCGCAGAUAUCUGUGAAAUCUGACUUGCCAAGUGGAUUUUUUACUGAAGGGAGGAAAGGGGAGGUUAAAGAAAAGAUUUCAUGGAAGCAGAAACCUGGGAUGUUAUCAAACGUGAACCUAAUAAAUGACAGCUUACAGAUUCCAAAGGAUGGCCUUUAUUACCUGUACACAAAAAUCAGCUUGGUGAAGAAUACAACUGGAAACGAGAGCAAUACUUCCAGACACUUUAUAAAAGUGAAACGGAUGGAUGGAAGUGAUGAAACGGAUGAAUCUCUUCUUCUAACGGUUGACAUCAUAGAUGGUGGUCCACACCAAGCUUCUACCUCGGGGUAUAUCGGCGGCCAGUUUCUACUUAAUGCUGGAGACUUAGUUUAUGUUAAUUGUUAUCCACCCGCUAAAAUAGACUCAAACGAUUCUGAGACAUAUUUUGGCAUUUAUAUGCUGAAGGAAGUGUAAUGUUUUUUUGGAUUUUUAUUCUCUCUCUGUCUCUCUCUCUGUCUGUCUGUGUCCUGAAGCCCUCCCCACAUCUCGCUCCAACACCAGGAUUUACUUGUGCUGUAUGCUGGAGGACAUGGACAGAAUCUGGUGUUGUCAUGCCAAUGUCUGUUUGAUGCUGGAGUACAAUCACUCUGUCUUUGAAGACAAUGCAGUCUGCGUCUUGGCUUACUAAUCAACAUGACACAAGCUGAGGCUUAGCAUUUGCUAUUCAGGCUCUCUUGAUGCGGACUUGCUGUACAAUCUGAACUCCCAAAGAUCUUUAAAAACCUACAAAACUAACAUACUGAUGUUCGUGACAUCAACCUUUAAAGUAUUUGUUAGGCAGAGAGUUUCCUGUCGGAGCUUUUCAUGUGACUUUGUUUAAAUGGCUUUCUUUUUAUAAUGAAUAUUUAUGUGAUCCAUGUUUCUAAAAAUUGGUAAUUAUCAGUCCUAUCAUGCUCUGAGGUGGUUACAUUGUCCUAUCACCUAAUGACAAAUUGUAAGCUUUAUAUUUAUGCAUCUUCCAGUUUAGCAGCCUUUCUGUGCUAUUCAUAUAUUUAUUGAAUAUUAUCUUAAUGUGUAGAAUUGUUCUAUAUGAGAUUUACAUCUGCUUGUGGACUGAUGACAUUGAAUAGGUGAGUGAAGAGCCACAGCCCUUCCCAGCAGGGUACAAAUGUGGCACUGGGCACCAGUGUGUCCUCUACUCUCGGAGGUAAAGCUGCCAAUUCUGAUUCUAGAGCUCUGGAUGCCACUGCAGCAUGACACUGAUGUGGAGUGCUGGCGAUGCCAUUCUGUGUCACAGGAACUGCUGCAUUAACUUGAAUCAGCUUGUCCUUGCAGUGACAUGAGCACAUGGAUGCUUGCCUCCCAGAUAAGUAGGACGUUGACUGGAUGUCUUUAAAGCGAGCUGGUGCCCUUCUGGUGUGUGGUAUAACAUUGAUUUUGUUAAUUUAGUGUCAUUUCGAAGUACACAUUUAAAAAAAAAAAAAAUCUUGUCUUCCAAAGCAGGAUUUACAGUUUGUUGCACUUCAUAAUUCAUUUCACUUUUAGUACUUGUCUGCUUUUCUUGCUUCUUAAAAGCUGUUGUGGGCUUCCUUCCCUUUUGUCCUUAAUCCUGCUGGGCAGGAACAAACCAGAUUACGUAACCCUGUGGCACACGGCAGGCUGAGCGUCAGUUUGUACUUCAGUUUUUAUGAUGCCACGCACCAGUAGCUUAUACACCAUUAAACCUUAAAAUGACAUUUGCAUGGCCGUCAGCGAGAUCUUCGCCGUGAGCUGCUGUAGGAGGGCAGAUGCUGUCAGCCCCACGUACCGUCUGAAGGAGUGAGCUGUUGGCCACGAUUUGCAGUCGUAUUUAUUUUAUGUCUUUUUGUGUAAAGUUGUUGUUUUAACAUAUUUUGCAAAGGUGCAAUUUCAUGGUGGCUGGACCAAAAAUUUGUAUACCUUUUUGCCUUCAUAUAAAUUGUAUAAAUUUUGUAAUAUAUUUCAAUGUAUUUAUUUGUAUAUGUAUUUGCACAUUCAUAAUCUGUUUUUGCUGGGCUUUUAAAACUUAAAACGAGCCUUAUUUGAUAUUUUAUCCUAUAAUGUGCAACAUUUACCCCACUUCUAAAGUAUUUCUUUGUGUUUUUGAUUUCUGUUGUAUAAUUUUAAAUUCAUGAACUAUUUUUAUUAGUUUUCCUCUG